UUGUGCUAGCUAGUGCGGAUAUGUCCAUAAUAUGAAUGUAUAAAAUGGGGCACUGGCUAGUCCUUGUUGCAUUAAAAGGCUAGCUCAUCAAUACUGAUCAGAACAAAAGAUUAGGAAAAGAUUUAUAUGUUCUAGCCAUGGCUGCCACUUCUCUUACUUUAUUUCUAGCUUUCCUUUGUUUCUCUCAAGUUGUCUACUUGAAUGCCGUCCCAAUUACAAGAAGCGCAAGUCUGGUAUACAAAUCUCAAGAACACAAGGUUUUAAAGAAUAUGAAGGAGAGUAUGGAAAUAGCUGAUCAUGCCAUCAUAAGAAGAAUGGACGCUGAGCUCAAUGAUUAUCCAGGUGCCGGUGCGAAUAAUCACCACACUCCCGGCCACCCUUAGAAAAAGGAUGACAUGCACAAAUCGAGAAAUGAUCCUCAGAGAAAGGUUGUGUUGGCUGCUAGCUAGUAAUAGAUAUAUAUAUGCUCCAAAUGUUUAGUAGUACUAUUGUGUUAGGUAAAGUCACUAAAGUUCUCGUUUAAUCCUAGUUAUGAUCGAAAAGCUAAUAAGAGGGUUUAUCUCUUUUGUUAUAUACGUAGUAGUACUAGUAAUUUUAUGUUAGAAGAGGAGAGAGGGAUAUCUGAGAAUUAUUGAGGAUUAACUACGUACGUUUGAUCAUAAGCUUUCUUUGGAUGUUAAUGAUGUGAUGAAAUGAGAGUUGUGGUCAUCAUAUGUACAGUUUAAAAUUGUUAUCCCUUUGAUGAACUGACUUUCUAAUUAAAAGAUUGAAGUUCUUUUCUCUA